UACAGAACAGAGGAAGAAGUUUGGAAUAGGAAAACAUUCUCUCUUAACCCUUAGUUUCUCUGUAUCAAACUUUAAAAAAAAAAUAUAUUAUGUGAUGAAUGUCAUGAUAAAAGUCUAUAACUUUGUGUAGUGGUAUUAAUUUUUAUUCAUUUUGCUCUGUAUCUUUUGAUAUUUUCAUAUGUGGAAAGGUGGAGGCUAUGGGUUGCAAAAUGUCAUUUAAUUGUUAAUGUCCGACUGUCUGAAUGCUCAACUUUGCAGGGACGGACCCGCAUGCAUAAGUGUAUUUGGCAACCUCGCAGAGCUCAUCGAUGAGGAAUUAGUAAUGUCAGGUGUGGAACCAAAGGUUGUUGUAGCCACCAAUAUCAACCCUAAAUUAGUUGGAGAGUUGGUCACCACAAGGUUGGUCUCGGUAGGAAGGUUCAUCCUCAACGUCUACAAAAUAUGGUGGUGUUAAGAAGAUCGGAACGUUAACACUGUCUGAGCUAAAUGCUUAUAUCACAUCUCCCCACAGGUGACCACUUUCACGUAACCCAUCUGUUAGUGCGUUUCUUGACCGACAAUUUCUUUCACUUUCGUUGGUGCCUUAUCCAAAGGUUUGAAACCAACUUCUCUGCUCUUCCACUGAUAAAAUACUGAAUAUAUUAAAAAUAUUAAUUGGAUCGAACUGUUCUCUUUUGUUUUGAGUGCAGUGUCCCUGAGAUAAAAGAGCAAACAACGAAAGAAAGCUUUCUGUUACAUGGUAUCUCACCAGAAUCAAUCUUUUUUGGACCGUGAGUAUCUCCAAACACAGAAUGUAAUGUCUUCUUUUUUUUUAAUUUUUUAACACAGAAAUAGUAAUCAGCUCGAUAUAGCUUUACAUCAAAAAAAUUCAGGACAUAGAUCAAAAUGUUGUCUCAGUUCAGACGCAUGCAUUUGGUUUCUUUAAUCAGGUAUUGCAAUGAGGAAAGUAAGAUGAACGUUGUGUAUGAGUAUAUGAAAAAAGGAAUGCUUAAAGACCAUCUGUAUGACUCGGAUAAUCCUAGGUUGAGCUGGAGACAGAAGCUUGAGAUAUGCGCUAAAGGGCUUCACUAUCUCCAUACAGGUUCCGCUAGAGCCAUUAUACACUGCGUGUGAAGUCUGCUUCAGGCCAUUGAAGCUCUCGACCCGAACUACGAACUGGUAGUUUACUAGAACCACAAGAAGCAAACUCAAUCGGAAUAGAAAGACAACUUCAUAUCAUCAAACUGAUCCGUG